CUCCCCUCGGCAGGGCGGGCGGUGCCCGUGGCCCCCAAUCCGGGCGGCGGCUCCGCCCUCCUCACCGUGGGGCCGGACCUGCCCCGGCGGCCUCGGGACGUAGGGGGCAUUGUGGACGUCUUCCUGCUGACAGUUGUGUUGGCAUUCCGCUCAGAUUCAGACCAUGGCCACCACAGAGGACUUUCCUUUCCUGCAGCAGGACCGCACAAGAUCAUCUGAUCUGAGGAUCUGGAAGGCAUUUUUUUGUUUCACUUUCGGCAGUGAAGGAGCAUUUCCAUCAGAAGCCAGGAUGGGGAUGGUGAGAAAGAUGGUAGCUCACACUGUGUUCAUUUUCAAAAUGCAACUGCAUGUUUGUUUUCAGAAUGAAGGUUGGAGUUCAGGGCAUUAAAGUAUAACCUUCUUAGUAAGUAAAAACAUCCAUGUUUUUAUAGGACAGAACAAAUAUGGAAUUCUAACUGUUGGAUGUGGGUUUAUCUCUUUCUCAAUGUGAAGUUUCAGAAGUAUUUUAUUUAUUUAUUUUAUUUAACUCUUCUUGAAAGUGUAUUAUAUGUUCAUCUUACAUGGAAUGAAGCAAUGUCAAAGUACUGCAGUCCUGUCCUUGCAGUCCCAACUGAACUCUCUGCUGACUUCAGUUGUCUGGCUAGAUCUGUACUGUAUUUUAAAAGUACCCUUGAAGCUAGGCUUACAGCCAGAUUUAGUUGCUGUCCGUGCUGCUUACCUGAGAUAGUGUCCCUUGCAUUGGCUGUGUGGCAAUUCUGCUGAUACUGCUGGAGGGGGGAUGGUGUAGGUGUGUACUUUGCACUGCAAAGUUGUACCAACUGCAAUGUGGACUUGCCUCAGCAGCCCAUACCCAGCACAGCCACAGAAGGAACACUGUAUUAAUAUCAAGCAAAAUCCUUUCUAAGAGAUGUCUAUAUUGCUGCUGCAAUUACCUAUAAAGGUAAUUUUUGUCUGGAGUCAUUGCAUCAUUGUGCAUCCUGGGUGCCAAAAUCAGAUAGCUCAGGUGUAGAAUAGAGGUAAACUUUGUUUGCUAAUAAGUGACCUAACCGGCUUGUAACUGUGUUGUUCAAGUGGCUUUUAGAUGGAAAGAGUUGUGACUGGCACAGAGCUCCCAGAUCUUCCCAGAAGAGUAAAGAACUGUUCACCUGUUUUGCAGCUUCAUAGGUGUUUUAAAGCUCUGUUACUUCAAUACCGUGUCAUUUAGGCUAUGUUUUCAUAUUCUAAAUUUCAUGCAUAAUGGCAGUUGGAACAGGAUAGUAAAUGUGACAAUAGUAACCAUGUUGGUAAAAUACAUAAAUAUAAUUUUUUAAAGCAUUUAUUCACAAAAUAGUUUUAUGGUUUUCACUGCGUUAUAUAAAAAAACACUAGACCUUUUUCAGAUAUGGUAAUAAUAGCCCUCACAUUUCUGUCUGCAUGAAUAAUUAUAUCUGUCUUUAUCACUGCUGUUAAAUAUGCCACAGCACAUUCCUAAUGUUCUGAUUAUCUUUUCUCUUCCUCUGAACUACAAAUUCAAGAGAAAAAGUUGUCAACGUUUAGGAAUUGUUUCUUCAAGAUAAAUUAUUGAGGCCAUUUAUUUUAAGGUCAGAGAAUUACAUCAGCUGCUGGUCCAAAAUUUCAACUAACUUUCAUUCUGAGAUUUGUUAAUUGUCAAAAAAAAAAAAUAAAGAAAGAAAGAAGUAAGUGUACAAUCCUUA